rnacentral:rRNA from 1 species
UACAGAGGUCUCAAGCGUUGUUCGAAUUCAUUGGGCGUAAAGGGUGCGUAGGUGGUGAUGCAAGUCUGGUGUGAAAUCUCGGAGCUCAACUCCGAAAUUGCACCGGAUACUGCGUGACUCGAGGACUGUAGAGGAGAUCGGAAUUCACGGUGUAGCAGUGAAAUGCGUAGAUAUCGUGAGGAAGACCAGUUGCGAAGGCGGAUCUCUGGACAGUUCCUGACGCUGAGACGCGAAAGCGUGGGGAGCAAACAGG